AAACACCUCAAGUCCGCUCUUCUUUUUGAAGACGGAUUUGGACUUGAGCGAUCCCAACAGGAGGGGCUUUCCCCUCUGGCGGGUUGCUUGAAAUGCAGGUGCAGCUGGAUUUUCAUCUGGGCUAUAAGCAUAUUUAUUUAGUCCCGUUAAACGGAUUAUUACUUUUUGCUGCAGCCAACGUAAAGGUUGAUUGUCCUCUUGCUGACUGAUGCAGGAAUUUUCGGGGGAUCGGCAACGAUUACCCGUUAA
rnacentral:misc_RNA from 1 species